CCUCGGGUGGCAGCAGUGAGGAAUAUUGGUCAAUGGGCGAGAGCCUGAACCAGCCAAGUCGCGUGAAGGAUGACGGCCCUACGGGUUGUAAACUUCUUUUGUCAGGGAGCAAUUGGGUCCACGCGUGGGCUUAGCGAGAGUACCUGAAGAAAAAGCAUAGGCUAACCCCGUGCCAGCCGCCGCGGUAAGACGGAGGAUGCGAGCGGUAUCCGGUUUUAUUGGGGUGAAAGGGUGCGUAGGCGGAAUAUCAAGUCAGCGGUAAAAAUUCGGGGCUCAACCCAGUCGUGCCGUUGAAACUGAUGUUCUUGAGUGGGGAAGAGGUAUGCGGAAAGCAAGGUGUAGCGGUGAAAUGCAUAGAUAUCACGCAGAACUCCGCUUGCGAAGGCAGCAUACCGGCGCCCAACUGACGCUGAAGCACGAAAGCGUGGGUAUCGAACAGGAUUAGAUACCCGGGUAGUC
rnacentral:rRNA from 1 species